AACGCGAAGAACCUUACCUGGGCUCGAAAUGUAGUGGAAUCCGGCAGAAACGUCGGCGUCUAGCAAUAGACCGCUAUAUAGGUGCUGCAUGGCUGUCGUCAGCUCGUGUCGUGAGAUGUUGGGUUAAGUCCCGCAACGAGCGCAACCCUUAUCUUCAGUUGCUACCAUUUAGUUGAGCACUCUGACGAAACCGCCUCGGAUAACGGGGAGGAAGGUGGGGAUGACGUCAAGUCCUCAUGGCCUUUAUGUCCAGGGCUACACACGUGCUACAAUGGCCGGUACAAACCGCUGCAAACCCGCGAGGGGGAGCUAAUCGGAAAAAGCCGGCCUCAGUUCGGAUUGGAGUCUGCAACUCGACUCCAUGAAGCUGGAAUCGCUAGUAAUGCUAUAUCAGAACGAUAGCGUGAAUACGUUCCCGGGCCUUGUACACACCGCUAGUC
rnacentral:rRNA from 1 species